GCGCUGCAGCCGCUCAAUUUCAUUAUUGGCAUAAUCAGAACCCUUGGCCAUGCAAUUCUUAGCAGCUUUCAGGUAAAUCUUUCCAUACCUUAAAAAUGGGAAAUAUAUAUGGUCAUAUCCUAACUUACAAGAUCAUUAACAAAAAAAAGUCAAAUGCACAAAACCUAUGUUGUUUCGAGCAAUUUAUUUACUAAAUUUUCUGACAGCAUAAGAAUCGGUAGUAAUUAAGUAAAAAUAUUUUUAUAUAGACAUAACCACGCAUGCCAUGAGGUACCUUGUAGAGAAACCCUUAAGUUUCUCAACUUCUUCUUCCAUCCGAGAAACCACUGCUUUCUUU
rnacentral:misc_RNA from 1 species